GCUUCGGCCUAUAAAAGGGCCGCUGUGGCGCUUCCUCAGGAACGUGCCGCCGAAGCCGCCGCGACCCCUCCUCCUUAGAGUUGCAGCGGUGUCUGCGCCCGGCCAGUUAAUGAGAUUUAUUCACGUUCGGCUCUACUCAGCUUUACCAGGUGUUGGCAGAUCCAGUGCACAGGGAUUUCCAGCGACGGUGGUUUUCCCCCCGCCCCGUUCCUUCUCUCUCGCCCUCGUAUAUCCUUCCUUGGUUUCUUCCUCGGCCCCGGAGGCUGCGUCCCGGGCGCGCGCCUGUACAUGUGAGGGCUUGUCAGCGCCUGGUGACCUCCCUCCUCCUCGUCCUUCCCCAACGAAAUGAAGGAUUAAGAGCCUUUCAGAGAAUUUUUUGGCCCAAGGAAGAGGCCUGUGAAAGUCACCGCGUUAGCGGUGGACUCCCGGUGUUAUUCAUUAGUACGUUGUACAAGGUUUUAUUACCCGAAGGCAAAGGGGGGGGUGUGGUGAAGGAUCGUUAGACUGCUUUACCCAAGAAUCGAGAAGGGUGAAGAACAGCUACGGAAUUAAAGAGAGAAACAGAUGCAGUUGAGUUGGCCUUUGGAACUGAUGGGUUUUUAUCUGACUUGGCCACUAUUAUUGGGCGUGACCUUGGACAAAUCAUAUGGCCUCUUCGGGCCUCAGUUUUCUUAUCCUUGAAAUGACAGGGUUUCUCUUAAAAAAUACAUCCUUAAGGGUUUUUUCCUAACAAAAAAGAUUCUAAGCUAUGCGAGGCAGAAACCAUGGCUUCCAGUUCAAAAUAGGCCACCGAAUUAGGUUUUUGUCAGUCAUUUUCAGCUACCCAAAGUAGAGAUCAUUCUUUCACAUUUAUGUAUUUAUAUAAGUGCUUUAUAAUGGUUAGUAGGUUACCAUAUAUUUGAAGUAGUUUGAGAGGCCCUCGUUUGGAACCAUUGUGGGUCUUCCAAUAGGAAAAUGAAAAGGCUCAAAGGGACAGGUCACUGAAAAUUAGCUGUCUAUGAAUUCCAUAAUAUAUAAAUGCUAAUAAGAAUUUAUACUCCGAGAGAUUUGAGACUGGUUAUCACAGUAGAGUACCUCGCAGUUUUCAACCUCAGAGAAUGAUUAUAAACAGAGGUGGCAAGAUUUUUACUAAUAUGUGGGAAAUUACCUAAUAACAUUUCUAAGAGGCAAAAUUCCUGAAAUUGAUUUGAAGUUUUAGAAGACUAUAGAAGUGAUUUAAAAAUAGGAUUACCAUGCCAAAAUGCAUUUUCUCAUGAAAAUAAAUGGCUUGUGCAAGCUGAUUGUCAGAUGCACAAUACCAGUGAUUCUCAUAGUGUUCUAUGACACUAGGGUGUCCUUUCAGUUUUAAUAUUUUGGCCUUACUGAAUCACAUUUUUGGGAUUGAGCCUAGAAAUCUGUGCUGUUAACUACCUCCAUGAUUCUUAAGCAGCAUAAAAUUUAAGAAUUCCUGUACUAUAUUAUAAUCAAGUGCAUCUAUUUUUUAAAAACUAUACUGUUCCUAAACUAGAAAAAGGUAAACGCAUCAAAGUAACAGAUUAGCUGUUUCUAGAAGAGAGUAUCUUACCCUCUCUCUCAAGUCAUCAUCAUUUACUUUAAGAAAAGGUAUUUGUAAUCACAAUUCAAAUCCUUCUAGAACUCCAAGGAAUGACUCUUUACUCUUGAAGAAGAAAAAAUUUGCAACAUGAAAUUAGUUUGUUGUGUACAUUGCUUGCCAUUUAAGUUGAUACUCAAAUUAUAAACCUGAUUAAUCACUCACAAUUGUAUUUUAUAAAAAUACUCUUCCUGAAGUGAGAAAGAACACUGGAAUUUUGAGUCAGUGUGUGAGAAUUUUAAACCAUCAUUAAUUAGGUAAAUGCGUUUAGAAAAGUCACUUUAUUUUUUGUCGUUUGGUCCUCAUCUGUGAAGUGGAAAUCUAUUAAUUCUAGAAGUUAAGAAGCCUUAACUUCUCAGGGAUGUUAUAAGGUUAAAAUGAAAUAACGUAUGUGAAAGUGUAACAGUAAACUGUUGAUAUCUAGAAGUCAAACUUACCUAAGAACAGUAAAAUCACCUGCGAUUGUCUUACUUACAUACUAUAUGAAGAAUGCCAAAAUUGGACUCCAAGAAUCUACACUUAAUCCUUAAAGCAUCUCUUUUUGGAGUUGUUGAGUGACUACUCUUUGCCAGGUAAUUUGAGAUGUGGUAGAAAAUAAGAUAGACAUGGCCUCUUUCUAUAGUCUAGCAUCAUAAAAGUGUAUUUCAGUCAUAUCAUUUAACAUUAUUAUCUCCUGGUUUACUGACCUAUACUCAUCAUGUCAUACCUUUAAUAAAAAGCUUGCCCAGCCUUCUGUGCCAACACUAUUCAGCAUCUGUUAGCAUCUGCCUGUUAGCAAUUUGUAAUCUAAGACAGAAGGCAAUGGCUACCAUAAUUUUAUGGCAGAUCCGCUCAACUCAGCAGUCAUUCAGCCACCUUCUAGCUUGCUUUUCUGUACUUUGGAAGCUGGAAAGCUAAGAACUACAGUUCCCAUACUGUCUUGCAGCUAUAGUGUUGGCAGGAGACCAGUGGUAUGUUGGUGAAUGUUUAACAACAGGGGGUGGGGAGGACCCUGAUUACAGCAUUAGCCAAUUUUAAUGGUGUAAACACUCCCAAGCUACCAAAGCGACUUCACUGAAUAUGGUGUUAGUUAGGAAAAGAUGCUAACAAUUAGGAGCAGGUUUCAGCACAUCACAGCAUAUGACCUAGUUCCUAGCAACCACAUGCACCCAUUCAAGACUUGGAUGUGAAAAUGAGCAACAUUGUGCUUCAGCUUUACUCAGUGAGCUGGGAUCUUCUGGCAAACAUCAUGAUGGAGGUGUCUGGUUCCUCUGGGCAGUUGGGGAGGAGGACCGGCAUCCAUUGUUGGAGUCUUAGGUGCUGACUGGCAGCUAGUGGUGGAAUGGGUUUCCACUAGCACAGUCCUAUGAUGUAUGAUGAGUGUUCUCCCUGGUUUGGAUUUUCUUGAAUGUUGUUUCUAGUUAUGUAUUAUUCAAGCCUGUUUUUCUGGCCCUCUAAGAGGCCUGUGAGCUAAAUAUUUUUUAAUAUUUUUCUGCUUAAACUAGCUCAGUCAGGGCCAGCCACAUAAUUUGUGGGACUCAGUGCAGAGUGAAAAUGUAGAGCCCCUUGUUCAAAAACAGGAAAAAAGUGCUAUUAUAUGUACUAAAAUAUGAAGCUUUUUCUUUCUUUUGCCAUCUCUCCCAUGACCUGUCGUGGUGGUUUUUUAACUUUGCUUUUUAAUGUCAUUCUAAGUAAAGAAAAAUAAAAAUUUUGAAUUGUUAGAAUGAAUUUUACUGUUCAUUCUUACAUUGUGCAUUGCUAUUUUCAAAUGAAAAUAUUUAUAAGAGCAUUUAAUGCAUAUCUGGAAUCACUGAAAUUACAAGGUAAGCCUUGUAUUUUGUAGCUUGUGCAUACAUGUACAUUUCCUGCUUACCAGAACAGUGUAAACACCACACAAAGCUAGCUAGCGCAACUGUUUUUAUUUCCCUUUUUGAAACGCACACUUUCUACCAACAUUAUCUUCUACUUACUGAUGAGAAAGGAAGGAAAGAAAGAAAAGGGAACUGUGGGUUGCCCUAUUUUUGCUCUCCUUCUUUGUUAUCAUUUUCAGCAUAAAUGGUUGGCUGCUUACUAGGGAAAUAACACCCAAGUAAGAGAGGAUAUUCUAGAGUUCUUUGGUCAUUUCUGUUUCUUAGAAUUCCAUUUGCCUUCUUUCUGUGUUCAAAGCAAGUUCUAGUUCUAAAGGAAAGCAUGGCCUCUUGGAGCUGUCAGCGCCUCCCCCUACUCAGGCAUAGAUGUAACAAGCUGACCUUGUACAGGCUUUGUGACUUUUUGAAUUCCCGCGCAUCAUGGAUCCACCAGAAAUCUGUGCUCACCAUGCGCAUGAAAGCUAUAUGCAAGUGGGGCAUCAAGGAACAGUGGAUACACACACAGUAUGUAUUUGCUCAUGUGUGUGCUUCCAUUGUACCCUUGGACUUCACUGACAGACUAGCAGUUCAAACAAAAUGAUUAAGAUUUUCGAGGCAGCGACUGCAGAGCGUUAAACCAAGUACAGGACCCUAUGUGACUUCACAGGUUGCAUGGUCGUGAAGUGUGCCCUGAGCUCAGUGUUUCUCAAGGGGACUUCUUGCAUUUGGGUUGAAACAAUUCUUCUUUGUGCAGGACAUUGAACAUCCCUGGCCCCUGGGUACUUCAUGUCACUGUGACAGUUGGAAAUGCCCCCAAACACUUCUAAAUGCCUCCAAACAAGGAGUAGUGCUCUCCACUGAACUCGAGUGGAUCACACUGUCUGCAGGACUAUCUGGCUUGCCUGGGCUUAUCUUUCUCUUGAAAAGGGAAGAAACAUAAGAAGACAAGCAGAAACACACAAGGCCUCUUGAGGCUUAGGCUCCAAAUUGACACACUCCUUCUGUUGACUAAAGCAGGUGACCAUGCUUUGGGAUUUUCAUAGUUUGAAUAAUUCCUAUGGGCUCUGCCACCCAGCAAGUUAAAGAGGACAAGAUUCCUCCCAGGGGAUUGUGGUUCUGGGAAUGUGAGCUGCUUGUUUUCAUGAGAUCUGCACCUUGAGCUGGCCUAUCACUAGGAGCUGUUCUGGUGGUGGUGAUUUUGUUAUACUUGUUUGUUCCUUCCAUCUUACACAAAGUUUUGUAACUUGUUUGUUAUAUAGAGAUUUUUGAAACCUGAAUGCUUUAUGGGAAAAUUUUACUUAUACAAAGAAAAAUUAAAACUAUUUUAAAGUAAUUUCUCAUGUCUUAUAUGUUUCUCUUUUAAAAUAAAUGAAAGCAUGAAUUGUUGUUAUUUAGAAAGAAAAUGAAGACUAAGGAAAUGCCUGUGCUCUUAACGUUUUAACAUAAGGUAAUAUUGUUCUCUGAAUGGCGCCUUCUAAGGAAUUACCACUGUCUCAUACACAAUUGACUCAAAUGCAUUCUUUAUCUUUAAAAGGAAGCAGAAUAGGAUCUUUGAGUAAAUCACACGUGUUCGCAGUCUUGUCUGGUGUAAUCCUAUACUACGCAAACACACUAUUCUGUAGUCAGGAGGGUAAGGGGACAUUUGAAUUAGGACUUGCCCUUGAGGAGACCUCUUUCUGUUUAAAGAGAAGUGCAGUGAAAGACCACACAGUAGAAGAUAACAGGAAAUAUCUUUGAUGCCUCCCCCCACCUUUAUACUUUCUCAUUCUCCUUUGUUCUCUAAGGAUAUCUGUCGUAAUGAUUAUUCUGUAAAACUCAUAGGUACAUAGCAGAAGGCAUAUCAUAUUUCAUUUAUUAUUUUGUCAACUGUAAUUAUUGUUCUCUCUUAUAUUAUGCCAUUGUGGAUUUUUAAAAUGUUUUGUUUAUAAAAGAUGAAAAUAUGUUAUAGAAAUUUUAUUAACUGACAGAUAUCCAGAGUGUAAAUGUUUUAACUCUGAAUUUGUUAAAAUUACAUUUUUGGAAGUCUAAUAGACUUAUUAAGCUACAUCUCAAAAAUAAAUAUGAUACUGAAAAGAGAUGGCUUAAAAAGAUGGAUUUAAGUUCCCUUUUUUACAUUAAUUUCAGUGGACUUUUAGAUACUUUAAAAUGGAAAAUUAUGAAGGUGGGCAGUGUUGACACAUCAUAUUUGAAAAAUUGAUGAGAAUAUAUAUUUAGCUUGAAAGUACUGACAGGUGAAUAAAAUCAUAAAGUAUCAUAAAGUUAAGAUUAAAACAAAGUAAAAUCUAAACUUCAGUAAUUCCCUUCAGAGACUUAUAAAGAAUGCUAUCCUCACUUGAGCCAGAUUUAGUAAGGAGACCUGCUUCAAUUCAGUUUGAUUUUAUGGGGUAUGAUUUUUUUUUUUUUAAUGCCAUACUCUCACAUUUUUUUUAAGAUAGUCUUAAUUAUGAACAACAGUGAUGUGAGAUUUUGGAAGAAUCCAAACAGCUGCAUCAUUUCAGAUGUUUUCAGCAUUUUGAUAUCUGUUUUUCUAUCUAUGUUAUGGAUGCAAUUCAAACUUCAAAUUUUUAGUUCUUAUUAGUAGUGGUUCUUACAAUAUCAUUGUUACGUAUUUUCAACUUUGCCUCCCAUUUUUGCCCUGGGUUGAUGCUUUUCAUUUUGGGGAUUUUUGAAAAUUUAUGUUUGAAGGUUUGAGUUUUCUUUCAAGCCUUUUUAUUAUGAAAAUUUUCAAAUGUAUGCAAAAGUAGAGCAAAUAGCAUGACAAACCCCAAGUUCUGUUUGAGUACUAAGUGAUAUGUUAGUAUAGUUACUACCUUUGUUUAUGCAACAGGUAGUCAGGAAUUCAAGAAAUGCUUGUUCUUGAAUGCACACUUGAAAGAAUUUGUGUAAAUCAAAUCUUAAAUAUCCAACCACCUCCCAAACUAUAAGGAGCGCUGAUGGUGCAUUGGUUAAAGCACUCGGCUGAUAACCAAAAGUUUGGCAGUUUGACCCUACCAGCCGCUCCACGGGAUAAAGAUGUGGCAGUAUGCUUUCAUAAAGAUUUACAGCCUUGGAAACCCUAUGGGGCAGUUCUACCCUGUGUUAUUGGGUCUUUAUGAGUUGGCAUCAACUCGAUGGCAAUGGGAUUGGUUAUGGGUUGGUCUCAACCUAUAUGACAGGUUGUGUUUCAAAAGCUUGUUGGUAGUCAGUAAACUUUUAAAUCUACAAAUGUGUUUCCCAUAGAAACAGUCUUAAAAAGGCUAUUAGAUUUUUUGGCCAGCUCUCAGUAACCCAUCUAAUUCACAGCUAAGGGAAACCUAUCCACCAUCUUUAACAUCAUUCAAUGAGAAAAUAGAGGACAGGAGUGGUUCAGUGGUAGAAUUCUUGCCUUCCAUGUAUGAGACCUGGUUCAACUGCCAGCCAGUGCACCUCCAGCAGCCACCACCUAUCUAUCAGUGGAGGCUCAUGUGUUGCUAUGAUGCUAAACAAGUAUCAGUGGAGCUUCUAGAUUAAGACAGACUAGGAAGAAAGGCCUGACAAUCUACUUCCAAAAAUCAGCUGAUAAAAACACUAUGGAUCACAACAGUCCAAUUCCAUUGUGCAUGGGGUCCCCGUGAGUCAGGGACCGACUUGAGGGCCCAUUGUUGCUAACAACAAAAUGAGAAAAUGUCUCAUUUGCAACUGGAAUACUACAGACCACCACCGACCUUGUUGCCUUCUACUUUGUAUAGGGGUGGAAAACUUCAAAUCUCCUGCAAUGGGAAGUUCGUGUCCUUGAUGGGUCUUUAGCUCUCUCAGAAAGAUAGCGGGAGCUAAGAGAAGACAAUGGCUGGGUAUGGGCAACAUGUAUUUUAUACACUCCAUUCUGAAAUUAUUUACCACUGCCUCUGCUGGUGGAGUUUUUAUUGUUUUGUUUUUGCUUUUAAAAAAAAAAAAAGUCCUCCAUCUGAGAUGCAUCAAUUGGUCUCAACCCACAUGGAGCAAAGGAGAAUGAAGAACACCAAAGUCACAAGGUAAGUAUGAUCCCAAGAGUAAAAAUGGGCCCUGUAAAUCAGAUACUACAUCAGCUGAGACCAGAAGAACUAGAUGGUGCCUGGCUACAACUGAGGACUGCCAUGACAGGGAAUACAGCAGAGAAUCCCUGAAGGAGCAGGAGAGCAGUGAAAUGCAGACCUCAAAUUCUCAUAAAAAGACCAGAUUUAAUGGUCUGACAAAGACUAGAAGGACCCCAGAGGUCAUGGUCCCCAGGCCUUCUGUUAGCCCAAGACAGGAACCUUUCCCGAAGCCAACUGUUCAGACAGGGAUUGGACUGGACUGUAAGACAGAAAAUGAUACUGGUGAGGAGUGGGCUUCUUGGAUCAAGUAGACACAUGAGACUAUGUGUGCAGCUCCUGUCUGCAUGGGAGAUGUGAAUGCCGAGGGGGACAGAAGCUGACUGAAUGGACUUGGAAAUACACAGUGGAGAGAAGGAGUGUGCUGUCUUCUUAGGGGGAGAGCAACGAGGAGUAUAUAGCAAGGUGUAUAUAAGGUUUUGUAUGCGAGACUGACUUGAUUUGUAAACUUAAAGCACAAAAAUUUUUUUUUAAAAAGUCCUUUUUAUAAAAAAAAGAAGUAAAAAGGAAACUGUCCUUUAUAAGACAAAUACUGUAUGAUUAUUUUCUUCUAUGAUUAAGUUUCCGCUGUAAAGGUAAAUUUAUUUUAUGGGCUAAUACAUGCCUGAAACAGAAAAAAAAAUUCUUGAAUGUUAAUAUGGAAAAUUGGAAGUAUCAACACAGUUACUAAACUGCCAAAUCGCGAAAAUUAGGUGGUCGGAAUAAUGCUUAUAUUGAAGCUAUAAGUGGAAUUAGCCUUUUAGAGUAUAUGGAAAUGAUAGAUGAAAAGCAGAAAGCAGGAAGAUGGGCACCACUGCUUUUGUCAUGUCACCUAUACUCCUUUCACCCUUCCUAAAUGGAAAAAUUCCUACUCUUCCAAAUUCUUCUCUAAGCAAGACCUCGGAGCCUGUGUCAGCUUCUCCUCAUUUUAUACAUGGACACACACACACACAUAUAUAAUUAAAAGGGAAAUACAGAAAGUAUUUAUGGAUACAGCAAAAGGGGGCAAGAUUCGAAGUGUACGUUUUAAAAAGGCCAACUCAGAGUUGUUAAAUGCCAUCAAGUCAAUUCUGACUCAUAACGACCCUAUGCACAAUCAACGAAACACUGCCAGGUCGUGCGCCAUCCUCACAAUUGUUGCUAUGUUUGAGCUCAUUGUUGUAAACGCUGUGUGAGUCUCAUCUCCUUAAUGGUCUUUCUCUCUUUUGCGAACCCUCUACCUUACCAAGUAUGAUGUGCUUUUCCGGGGACUGGUCCCUACCGCUAGCAUGUCCAAAGUACAUGAGACAAAGUUUCGCCAUCCUCACUUCCAAGGAGCACUCUGGCUAUAUUUCUUCCAAGACAGAUUUGUUUGUUCUUCUGGCAGACCAUAGUAUAUUCAAUAUUCUUCUCCAACACGGUAAUUCAAAGGCAUCAAUUCUUCUUUGGUCUUCCUUAUUCCUACUCCAGCUCUCACAUUCAUAUGAAGUGAUUGAAAAUAUCAUGGUUUGGAUCAGGCACACCUUAGUCUUUCAAGUGACAUCUUUGCUUUUCAGCACUUUAAAAAGGUCUUUUGCAGCAGAUUUGCCUGAUGGAAUAUGUCAUCUGAUUUCUUGACUGCUGCUUCUAUGGGCAUUGAUUGUAGAUCCAAGUAAAAUGAAAUCCUUGACAACUUCAGUAUUUUCUCCAUUUAUCAUAAUGUUGCUUAUUGGUCCCGUUGUGAGGAUUUUUGUUUUCUUUAUGUUGAGGUGCAAUCCACACUGAAGGUUAUAGGCUCUGAUCUUCAUCAGUAAGUACUUCAAGUCUUCUUUGCUUUAGUAAGCAAAGUUGUGUCAUCUUCAUAUCACAGGUUAGUAAUGAGUCUUCCACCAAUCCUGAUGCCAUGUUCUUCUUCAUAUAAUCCAACUUCUCGGAUUGUUUGCUCAGCAUACAGAUUGAUUAAGUAUGGUGAAAGGAUACAACCCUUGUGCACACCUUUCCUGAUUUUGAACCAUGCAGUGUCCUCUUGUUCUGUUCUAACUGCCGCCGUUUGGUCUACCUACAGGUUCCUCAUGAGCACAAUUAAGUGUUCAGAAAUUACCAUUCUCUGCAGUGUUCUCCAUAAUUUGUUAUGAUCCACACAGAUGAAUUAAUUCCUUUGCAUAGUCAAUAAAACAUAGAUAAACGUCUUUCUGGUAUUCUCUGCGUUUAGCCAUGAUCCAUCAGACAUCAGCAGUGACAUCCCUCGUUCCACAUCCUCUUCUGAUCUGGCUGGAAUUUCUGGCAGUUCCCUAUUGCUGUACUGCUGCAACUGUUUUUUAAUUAUAUCCAACAAAAUUUUAUUUGCAUGUGAUACUAAUGAUAUUGUUAUAUAAUUUCCAUAUUAUGUUGGAUCACCUUUCUUUGGAAUAGGCACAAAUAUGGAUCUUUUCCACUUGGUUGGCCAGGUAACUGUCUUCCAAAUUUCUUGGCAUAGAUGAUUGAGCACCUCCAGCGCUACAUUCGUUUGUUGAAACAUUUCAAUUGUUAUUCCAUCAAUUCCUGGAGCCUUGUUUUUCACCAGUGCGUUCAGUGCAGGUUGAACUUCUUCCUUUAGUACCAUCAGUUCUUGAUCACAUGCCACCUCCUGAAAUGGUUAAAUGUCAACCAAUUCUUUUUGGUACAGUGACUCUGUAUAUUCCUUCCAUCUUCUUUUGAUGCUUCCUGCAUCAUUCAAUAUUUCUUCCAUAGAUCCUUCAGUAUUGCAACUUGAGGCUUAAAUUUUUUCUUCAGUUCUUUCAGCUUGAGAAAUGCCGAGUGUGUUCUUCCCUUUGGGAUUCCUAACUGCAGAUUUUUGCAUGUUUCAUUAUAAUACUUUAUCUUCUCAAGCUUCUCUUUGAAAUCUUUUGUUUAGCUCUUUUACUUCAUCAUUUCUUCCAUCCAUUCACUUUAGCUACUCUUUGUUCAAGAGCAAGUUUCAGAGUCUCUUCUGACAUGCAUUUUGAUCUUUUCUCUCUUUCCUGUCUUUUUAAUGACCUUUUGCUUUCUUCAUGUAUGAUGUCCUUGAUGUCAUCCCACAACUCGUCUGGUCUUUGGUCAUUAGUGUUCAGUGCAUCAAAUCUAUUCUUGAGAUGGUCUCUAAAUUCAGUUGGGAUGUCCUUGGCGUAGUAGUUAAGUGCUACGGCUGCUAACCAAAGGGUCGGCAGUUCGAAUCCACCAAACGUUCCUUAGAAACUCUAUGGGACAGUUCUACUCCAUCCUAUAGGGUCGCUAUGAGUCAGAAUCAACUCGAGGGCAGUGGAUGGUGGGUCCUCAAGGUCAUACUUUGGCUCUUGUGAACCUAUUUCAAUUUUUCUCAGCUUCAAGUUGAACUUGAAUAGGAGCAAUUGACGGUCUGUUCUGCAGUCAGCCCCUGGCCUUGUUCUGACUAAUGUUACUGAGCUUCUCCAUUGUCUCUUUCCACUAAUGUAGUCAUUUUGAUUCCUGUAUAUUCCAUCUGGUACGGUUCACAUGUAUAGUCACCGUUUAUGUUUUUGAAAAAAGGUAUUUGCAAUGAAGAAGUCGUUGGUCUUGCAAAAUUUUAUCAUGCAAUCAUCAGCGUCAUUUCCGUCAUCAAAGCCAUAUUCUCCAGCUACCAAUCCUUCUUUGUUUCCAACUUUUGCAUUUCAAUCACCAGUAAUUAUCAAUGCGUCUUGAUUGCAUGUUUGAUCAAUUUCAGACUACAGAAGUUGGCAAAAAUGUUCAAUUGCUCCAUCUUUGGCAUUGGUGGUUUCCGUGUAAAUUUGAAUAAUCAUCAUAUUAACUGGUCUUCCAUUUAGGCGUAUGGAUAUUAUCCUAUCACUGACAGCAUUGUACUUCAGGAUAGAUCUUGAAAUGUUCUUUUUGCCAGUGAAUGUGACACCAUUUCUCUUCAAUUUGUCAUUUCUGGCAUAGCAAGCCAUAUGAUUGUCUGAUUCAAAAUGGCCAAACCAGUCCUUUUCAGCUCACUAAUGCCUAGGGUAUCUAUCUUUAUGCAUUCCACUUCAUUUUUGAUGACUUCCAAUUUUCCUAGAUCCAUACUUGGUACAUUCUGUGUUCCUAUUAUUAAUGAAUGUUUGAGCUGUUCUCAUUUUGAGUCGUGCCACAUCAGCAAAUGAAGGUCCUGAAAGCUUUACCCAGUAUACGUCAUUAAGCUCUUCUUUCCCAGUCAUCUUUUGAGUGCCUUCCAACGUGAGGGGCUCAUCUUCUGGCACUGUAUCAGACAAUGUUUCACUGCUAUGCAUGAGAUUUUCCCUGACCAAUUUUUUCAAAAGUAGACUGCCAGGUCUUUCUUCCUAGUCGGUGUUAGUCUGAAAGCUCCUCUGAAACCUAACCACCAUGGAUGACUCUGCUGGUAUUUGAAAUCCCAGUGAGUGGCAUAGCUUCUAGCAUCACAGCAACACGUAAGCACCACAGUACAACAAAGUGACAGAUGCAGGGAGUUAGGAACCCUAAAUAUUAUAAUGUUCUAUGACCCUGAGUAGGUCACUUUAACCUCCCAGGAUAAUCUGUAAAAUGAAUGAUUGAACUAAACGGCCCUAUUUCUUCUAGCUCUAAUAGUCCCAUACUCUGAAUAGUUAGAAUUCACUCAUCCUAGAUUCUGUUAAGUCUUUACAUGUUAGAAUGGCAUGGCUGUUACCCUGUCGGCUAAUACAGGCUCAAAUCUUACAUCCCCUCCAGAGAAUGUACAUCCCUGUGAGUGACUUGAUAGCAGGCUUCCAAAAUUAGCUAGCUUUAUUUUCCAGAUGUCAGUACCCUUCAUACAGAGAGUCAGGCAUACUCAGAAUCGGUCUGCUGAAGUUCCCACAGCAUGGUACACCAUGGCUUCCCCAUCUGAUCCUUGCUCCCCAGUAGAUAAGGAGCCUACUGUGUGUCAAAACUACACUAACUAGGUACUUAUAAUAUGUCACUGUAUUAACCCUUACAGUAAUCCUGAGAGGUGGGUUUGUCAUUUUCAUUUUACAGGUGAGAAAAUUUUAUAAGAACUAGUUAGUUGUGGGAGCCCUGGUGGCGCAGUGGUUAAGAGCUCGACUGGUAACCAAAAGGUCAGCAGUUCAAGUCCACCAGGUGCUCCUUGGAAACCUUAUGGGGCAGUUCUACUCUGUCCUGUAGGGUCGCUAUGAGUCAGAAUCGACUCGGCGGCAAAGGAUUUGAGUUUUUGAUUGACCUAGGAAUAUGAAGGAUGUGCCCAUAUUUCCUGCAUUAAUUUAGAAUCAACCUGCAACAGCUGCCUGGGGCUAGCUUCUGCCCUCUCCUUCCUUUCAACAUAGUGCUGCAGUUGAAAGUUAGGUGGCUGUCCCUGAUCUAAACUUUCGCUUUUUCCUUAGGAAAUUCUUAGUCAAAUGUUGGACAGAUAGCAGAGUAUAGUGAUGACUGAAGUAAAAAAAAAAAAAAAAACAUUGUUUAUGAUAGGGAGAAUUAAGAAUAGCUUUAAUAUCUAUUUAAUGGUUAAAAACAAACUCCAUGAGGACCAGGACCAUCAUUGACCCAUACUAGUUCACUGUACAGGCAGUCCCUGGAUUACAAAUGAGUUCCAUCUCUGAGUCUGCCUUUAAGUCAAAUUUGUAUGUUAAGUCAGAACAGUUAGGUACCGGACGGUAUCUAAUAUCAGUUAGUCAAAAGUUUGAGUAUAUAGCAUAUAGUGUGCCUCUCUAUGCAUAAAAAACAUUAAAGAAACAAUUUCAGAUACACUAAAACAUAUUUAACAUAAUAAUAAUAAUGUUGUGAUGUGCAUCACAAAGUAGCACUUGUUUGUUAUUAUGAGCCACUGUAUGUACCUUGAAUUUUUAAUAUAAUAGGCUUUACGGGGGGUUGGUUCAUAACAGCUGGUUGUAAGUAAGUUGGACUUCCGUAACCUGUAGACUGCCUGUAUUCUCAUUGCCUAAUACAGAACCUAAGUAUUCAAUUUUUCUCGAUUGAAUGAAUAAAUUAAUAUAUUCAUAGGCACUAAAAUCCUGAAAUACAAUGCAGCCAUUAAAAAUUAUGUUUUCUAAGAGCAAUCCCAUUCUUUGUUAUUUACCCAAAAACCUGAAUGUAAAUAUAUAGCAACUUUAUUCAUAAUCACCAAAAACUAGAAAGAGUUCAAAUGUCCUUCAACUGGUGAAUGGCUAUUUAAAAGUCCAUAUCUUUUUUUUUUUUUUAUAGUAUAUAAUACUGUUGUUGUUUGACACCCUCCAGUCUGCUCAGACUCAUAGGGACCUUAUGUAUAACAGAAUUACAAUAAUAAGAACCAAAUUGCCAAUGAUAGGCAACAGCAUGGAUGAAUCGUAAAUGCAUUAUGUAAAUGAAAGAAGUCUCACUCAAAACUUACUGGUUGCUGGGGCUCGGGGAAGGGUUAACUACAAAGGGACGCAGGGAAAUUUUUGAAGGUGAUGGAAUUAUUCUAUAUUUUGAUUGUGGUGGUGGUUGCACAACUGUAUGCAUUCAUCAAAACUCAUGGAGCUGUAUGCUAAAAAGGGUUAAUUUUAUGUAUAUAAAUUAAACCUCAAUAAACCUGACUUUAAACUACACUUAAGAUUUUUCUUAAAUUUGAUAGUGCCCUUGAAUACAUGGUAGGAUAUACCUGAUAUAUUCUUAAGUUAAAAUAUGCAAUGAUAGUUACAAAACAGUAUAUAAUGGUACUUUUUUUUUAAACAUACAUACAUACGUGUGUGUGUCUAUAGAUUAUAUAAAUGUAUUUAUAUGUCCAUCCAGAACAAGAUUCUAAAGAAUAAACACCAAACUGGUAAUGACAGUUACCUUGAGGCAGGCAACUGAAUUUGGAGUAAGUGAUUUAAGGAGACCUUAAAAAAAAAAUUUUUUUUUUUUUUAACUUUAUAUGGAAACCCUGGUAGCGUAGCGGUCAAGAGCUACGGCUGCUAACGAAAAUGUCGGCAGUUCAAAUCCAGGUGCUCCUUGGAAACUCUGUGGGGCAGUUCUACCCUGUGCUAUACUCAAUGGCAGCGAGGUAAUGGGUAACUUUAUAUGUUACUGUUUGAAUUUUUACAAGAAUAUACUUAUGUAUUAUGUAAUUAAAAAGUAAACAUUUCAGAGACUAGAAGAAUAAAAAAAAUAAAACCCAAAAUGUCAAUCGUAGUUAUCUCUGGCUAUUAGUACUACAGGUGAUUGUUAUUUUAUUUUCUAAUUUUUCUGCUAAACAAGUUCUGCUUUUGUAAUUAGAAAAAAGUUAUUUAAAAAAAGCAGAAAGCAUACUGAGUCAUAAAAAACGUAUGCAAGUUACAAAUGUGAACGUUAUUAAAAAUUCUCAAAACAAAGUUUCACUGGAAAAAGAAUUUGGAUACUCCCUCUGGAACAGUGCUUCUCUCAAACUUAACGUCCAUAUAAAUCAUCUGGAGUUCUUGCUAAAAUGCAGAUUCUGAUUCAUUAGGUCUGGAGUGGGACCUGAGGAUUUGCAUUUCUAUCAAGCGCUAGUGCUGUUGGUCCAGGGACUACACUUUACUUUGAGUAGCAGGCUCUAAAACUGUGCUGUGGAUACAUCAGCCACAAACUAGCCACAUAUGGCUAUAAAAUAUUUGAAAUGUGGCUACUCUGAGUUGAGGUGUACUGUAAGUGUAAAGGGAAACCCUGGUGGCGUAGUGGCUAAGUGCUACGGCUGCUAACCAAAGGGUCAGCAGUUUGAAUCUGCCAGGCGCUCCUUGGAAACUCUAUGGGGCAGCUCUGCUCUGUCCUAUAAGGUCACUAUGAGUCGGAAUCGACGGCACUGGGUUUUUGGGGUGGAUAAGGGUAAAGGGUCACUAUGAGUUGGAAUUGACUCAAUGGCAGUGGGUUUGGUUUUUGGUUUGGUAAGUAUAAAUGACACCAUGGAUUUCAAAGACUUAAUCCAAAAAGAAAUGUAAAGUAUUAUUAUUCUAUAUUGGUUAAAUGUUGAAAUUUUUAACAUAUUUUAUUAAAUAAAAUAUAUUAUUAAAAUUAAUUUUACCUGUUUCUUUUUACUGUUUUAAUGUGGCUACUAGAAAAUUUUAAAUUACAUUUGUGGUUUGUAUUUUUGGCUUGUAUUAUGUUUCUGUUGGACAGCGCUGCUCUAGAAUAACUACUAUAACAGGAUUUUACUUGUAUAAACUUCAUUCUGGUUCUUAAAUCAUCAGCAUAAUGCAGGAAAAGGAUUAGCACCCCAUUAAUGACUAAAUUAAUAACUUUUGUGUCUUAACAUAAACACUAGUAGGAAUUCUCAAGAUCUAUAUGUAUUUUUUUUUUUUUUAUGUAAGUGGAGGUUGAGACAAAUAGAAAUCUUAGAAUUUUAGAUCUGGAAAGAAACUUUGAAGUCAUCAAGUUCAAAUGCCUCAUCUUAUGGAACUAUUUAUCAGUUUGACAAAGAUUUAUUCAGUCCUUAAUAGAUGCAAGUAUUGAAUAGCUACUUUCAGUAUUUGAUAGGUAAGUGAGUAAGGUGAGGUGCCUACCCUGGAGAGCUAAGAAUGAUUGUGGUAGACCGUAGCAGCCCCCCACGAGGCAUGUUGGCAGAGUACUCUCAAACACAGAAGCAGAGUAAUCUGCAAACACAGAUUCUGUUAUCCUGAGGGUAACAGACUAGCUCCACGUAGGAGAACUGAUAGGAGCUGACUCUUAGUUUCCCCUGGCUUUAUAGCUUCUGGUUGAUAAUAAUGUUGCAAAUAAGGCUUUAGGAUUAAUUAUUUAAAUAAUCGUUGUAAGACAUGCUGUCCCUUCCUUCCUUCUCUCCCACGCAGAAACCCUUUGACAGUUUGAACAUAGUGACUGGUAGCAGAAUGAAAUUUGGAGUAAAGCAGUAGUAUAGUCAAACUUCAAUUACAUGUGCAAAUGUGAGGCAAAAGUUGUGAGAUGAUUAAAAUCUAUGAAUAAAACAAAAAGCUUUUUUUAGCUAUUAUUUUUAAAAACUUAUCAGGAAUAUCUUACCAGAGGCAUUAUUCCUGAAAUUUGUUCUUAUUUGAGUUACAGUUCCCUUCUGUAGAUGAAUGAGAAGACAAAUUUAGGAUAAAUAAUAAAACAUGGGAAUUUAUGAAAGUUUUGACUACUUCAAGAUAUAGUGUAGGCUAAAAAUAUGAAUAGCCUUUUAGAAAUUUUUUGGUUAAAACCUGGGUCCCUCCAUAAUGUUUCAUUCAUUUAUAACAGAUUAUUAAAGGAAUCCAGUUGCUUUGGUAUGCUUUCUUAACCUGUAGAGAAAUGGCUUUAGAGGACAGGCCUCCAUCAUGACACGCACAGACUCCUGGACCCCCUGACCAUGGGUGGGACCUAAUUUGAACACUUAUAUUACUCACUUUCAGCCAAUAUUAAACACUUGCUCAUAUGGAAAAAGUCAAACCUACCUGAGAAUGGCUGGUGGCCCUUGCCUAAGAGUGAGAAACUACCAAAAGCCAUUCAAAACUCAAAUUUGAACUAAGCAGAACAAAAGCUUCUGCCUAAGAAUUUUAACAGCUUUCCUCUGUGUCUCAAAGUAAUCAGAGCAGCCGUCUCCAAACCUUAAUGUUCCCUAGGAACCAGUGAGUUUGUUUGGUUAAUUUUGCUUCAUUCAUACCAAAAAGUAGAGUGUAUUAUAUCUUUCCUUGGUUUUCAAUAUUCCUGAUGAUAUUUUUAGCAGCUUAUUCCCAUACAUGAGCAGUAAUUAUUCAUGGGAAAUGAUUUUAUUUUCUUUAGUAUUCUACCAUCCCACACACAUACAAAUGUGUUGGCUUUAAAGAUGCCUGUCCUUUGGAUAUUAGCAUGUUGUAGGGUACAGGAGAUUCCUUUCUUCAAAUACCUAAAUAGGGAGAUUUUGGAUGGUGAGACAUUUAUAAAAGGUUUAGACUCUGAAAAUAUAUAUACAGUUAUUUAAAUGUAGCCCAAUAAUGCUGUUGUAGUGUAGAUAUGUUUUUUUCCCCCUGAAAUACUAUAUAGCACAGAGUUUUAGAAGAAUAAAACCUUUGAGAAGAAUCAACACACUGUUCAUGUCUUAUAAAACACCAAGACUGCUUUUUUAUUUUCCUGAGUUGCAUCAAUGGAAAAAAUAUAAAAUGAUAAUUAGUCUGACACCUCAUCAGAGGUUUUAUGGAUUUAUAAUUUUGAUCUAUAACACAACUUGUUAUUAUUAGGUGCCAUCAGGUCAGUUCACAACUUAGUACCCUUAUUCAUUUGAGAUUAUUUUAUUAGAUGAGACCUGCAGGCUGUGAAAAAACAAUCUUGUCUUUUUUAAGCUUUCCUUGUCAGGUGGUCAUUAGAAAGCUUCGUGGCAUUUUUUAAAAAACAUUUCUAAUAUUCUGGCUCCCACAAUAAGCUUUUAUGACAUUAAUUUCUUCCUUAGUUUUUUACUUCAGCUGUAAUCUUAGGGAAAAUGGGAAAUACAUAUAGUAAGAAGUACAUUUAAAUUUAUAGUGUACUGAUUCUAUUUUGAGGGUAGUUUUGUAAUAGGGAAGGAAUUCAAACCAGAGAAUCUCAAUCUCGUUUUUGUAAUUAUACAAGAAAGCUGCAAACCUGCCAACAUUCCAUUCACAUUCAGCUAUACGUUUCUGAGGCACACCUACCCUUACUGUUACUGUUGGGUGCUAUCAAAUCGACUUUGACUUAUAGCGACCACAUGUGACAGAGUAGAACUGCCCUAGUUAUCAUGGGAGCAGAUCACCAGGUCUUUCUCUUACGGAGCUGCUGGGUGGGUUCGAACCACAGACGUUUCAAUUAGCAGCUGAGUGCUUAACUGUUAUGCCACAAAGGCUCCUUCUACUCUUGCUGUUGUUGUUGUGUGCCAUCAAGUCGAUUCUGACUCACAGUGACCCUAUAUGACAGAAUAGAACUGCUCCUUAGGGUUUCCUAGGCUGUAAUCCGUAUGGAAGCAGAUUGCCAUGUCUUUUCUCCCUCAGAGCCACUGGUGGUUUUGAACCCCAGACCAUUCAAUUAGCCACCAAGCAUUUAAUCAUUGCGCCAUCAGGGCUCCUCCUACCCUUACUGGAGAGCAGGAUUUGCUCUCUCUGGAGCAGUACAUAUAUAAUAAAGAUGGCUUGUUGUUGUUAAGUGCCAUCAAGUUGCUACUGACUCACAGCGACCCUACGUACGACAAAAUGAAACACUGCCUGAUCCUGUGGGACCCUCACAAUCAUUGCUAUGUUUGAGCCCAUUAUUGCAGCCACUGUGUCAACCCAUCUCAUCAAGGGUCUUCCUCUUAUUUGCUGACCCUCUACCAAGUAUGAUGUCCUUCUCCAGUCACUGGUCCCCUCUGAUAACGUGUCCAAAGUAUGUGAGAGGAAGUCUCACCAUCCUCGCUUCUAAUGAGCACUGUGGCUGUACUUCUUCAAAGACAGACUUGUUCAUUCUUUUGGCACGCCAUCGUAUGUUCAGUAUUCUUCGCCAGCACCUAAUGAAUCAAUUCUUCUUCGAUCUUCCUAUUUCAUCAUCAGCUUUCACAUGCAUAUGAAACUGUUGAAAAUACCACGGGUUGGGUCAGGCACACUUUAGUCCUCAGAGUGACAUAUUUGCUUUUCAACACUUCAAAGAAGUCUUUUUUGCAGCAGAUUUGCCCAAUGUAACACAUCGUUUGAUUUCUUGACUGCUGCUUCCCUGGGCCUUGGUUGUGGAUGGCUAGACACUGAUAACUACUUGCACAGAAAGCUGGGGCAAUUUGGGGACUCACUUCAUUAAUUUUCUUUCUCGAGGAUCACAGUCCCAUGUUGCCUGUGCUCCAACUUCAGAAAAUGGUUGUUUUCUAUAUUUUGUCUAUUUUUAUCAUUUUUUAAUAGCAGGAGAGUUAGUCUAGUACCAGUUACUCCAUCAUUGCCCAACUGUCUUUUUUUGCAUUAACUUCUUUAUAUAUUUUGGAAUUUUGAUUUGCAUAAUCACUUCGAGU